rnacentral:sRNA from 1 species
UAAGUAAGUAUUGUCCGUGCUGAGAUU